ACUCCUACGGGAGGCAGCAGUGGGGAAUUUUGCGCAAUGGGGGAAACCCUGACGCAGCAACGCCGCGUGAGUGAUGAAGGCCCUUGGGUCGUAAAGCUCUGACAGAGGGAAAGAAGUGUAGAGUGGCUAAUAUCCACAUUACUUGACGGUACCCUCAAAGGAAGCACCGGCUAACUCCGUGCCAGCAGCCGCGGUAAUACGGGGGGUGCAAGCGUUGUUCGGAUUUAUUGGGCGUAAAGCGCGUGUAGGCGGUUUUAUAAGUCUGAUGUGAAAGCCCUGGGCUCAACCCGGGAAGUGCAUUGGAUACUGUAAGACUUGAAUACGGGAGAGGGCAGUGGAAUUCCUAGUGUAGGAGUGAAAUCCGUAGAUAUUAGGAGGAACACCGGUGGCGAAGGCGGCUGCCUGGACCGAUAUUGACGCUGAGACGCGAAAGCGUGGGUAGCAAACAGGAUUAGAUGCCCUGGUAGUCCACGCCGUAAACGAUGAGAACUAGGUGUCGCGGGUA
rnacentral:rRNA from 1 species